rnacentral:rRNA from 1 species
CGUGUAGGCUGCUCGGAAAGUCGGGUGUGAAAGCCCUGGGCUCAACCUAGGAAGUGCACUCGAAACUUCCGAGCUGGAGUUUCGGAGAGGAAGGCGGAAUUCUCGGUGUAGAGGUGAAAUUCGUAGAUAUCGAGAGGAACAUCGGUGGCGAAGGCGGCCUUCUGGACGAUGACUGACGCUGAGACGCGAAAGCGUGGGGAGCAAACA